rnacentral:rRNA from 1 species
UACGUAGGGUGCGAGCGUUGUCCGGAAUUAUUGGGCGUAAAGAGCUCGUAGGCGGUCUGUCGCGUCGAUCGUGAAAACUUGGGGCUUAACCCUGAGCUUGCGGUCGAUACGGGCAUGACUGGAGUUCGGCAGGGGAGACUGGAAUUCCUGGUGUGGCGGUGAAAUGCGCAGAUAUCAGGAGGAACACCGGUGGCGAAGGCGGGUCUCUGGGCCGAUACUGACGCUGAGGAGCGAAAGUGUGGGGAGCGAACAGG